rnacentral:rRNA from 1 species
UACGUAGGGGGCGAGCGUUAAUCGGAAUUACUGGGCGUAAAGCGUGCGCAGGCGGUUCGUUAAGUUCGUUGUGAAAGCCCCGGGCUCAACCUGGGAACUGCAAUGGAAACUGGCGGGCUUGAGUGUGGCAGAGGGGGGUGGAAUUCCGCGUGUAGCAGUGAAAUGCGUAGAGAUCCGGAGGAACACCGAUGGCGAAGGCAGCCCCCUGGGCCAACACUGACGCUCAGGCGCGAAAGCGUGGGGAGCAAACAGG